GAAAAAAGUAAAAAACAAAAAAAGUAACAAAACAAACGGAAAUAAGGAUAAAAAAAUGAAUGAAGAAACAUCUGCGGAGAAUAUUAAUACACUCGAAUCUUUUAUGGACGAACAAGAAAAACAUAUUAAAAAUGAUGCAGAUAAAAAAAAAACUGAUAAAAAUUUAUUACCUGAGAACACAAUAUUAGACAAAUCGAUGGAAAUAAAGAGUUUAAAAAAAAAACAAACAAAAAAAACUGCCGAUAGUGAUGUUGAUGAUUAUACAGGUGAUACCAAUAAAAAGACGGAGUGUUUAUACAGUGGUGAAAAAAAUGAAGAGGGUGACUUCAAUGAUAUAGACAUUACGUUAUCGUUUAAUAAAUAUAACAUUCGAAAUAUGCCAAGCAGUGACAUUUUUGAAAAAAAUAUUCCAAGUGUUACUGAAAAAAAUUUAAUAAAUAAAAACCUUUUAUCUAAUUUAUUAAGUACAAAUGUUGAUGUAAAAGAGCUAACUGAAAGUAAACAGAUAUUAGAAGAUAUCGACACUUUUAAGGAAACGAAAAUAAAAAUGGAAAACAUUAUUUUAGACAUGGAAGAUCAAAAAAAUCAUAACGACAGUGCCAGUUUACGUAAUGAGAAUAAACAGGAGACGAGUAUGGCAGCUAGUAUAGAAAAAAAAGAAACUGUUUCGUCCAAGUUAAAAAAGCUAAAGAAAAUUAAAAACUACCAAAUGAGUCUUGAUGAAAGAGAAAAACACAUGCAAAAAUAUAUGCUUAAGAUAGAAGAACAAUACAAAAAAAAAAAAGAAGAAGAUAGUAAAAAAGAAUUAAAUGAGUGUAAAGAGGAAAUGAAAAAAUUCAAAGAAAAAGAAAAUACGUUUAUUAAUUAUUUGAAAAAUCCGAGAUUAAAUUUGUCAAAAACGGGAGACUUGAAUCAAUAUUUGUGUAUCUGCCCAACAUCUAUUCAUUUCACAGAUAUAACAAAAGGAACAACGCCAACAAAAGAUGUAUUGAUUACUAACAAAAGCAGUACACUGCUUCAUAUUAUCAUAGUACCUCCAUUAAGCAAAACAUUUUUUAUAAAAGAGAUAAGAAAUCUACAAAAUAAGAGUGAGGAAAAUUCUAAAUAUAAUUUAAAUAAUCAAAUAGCUCCUGGACAUUCAAUAAAAAUUAAAGUGUCUUAUAACGUCUUGACAUUAAACCAACAGACGGACAGCAUAAAAUUGUUAUCAGAAGCUGGGAAUAUAACAAUUGAUAUCAAAGUAUUUCAAUCUACACCAAAAAUUAGUUUUGAAAAAAUACUGAAUUUCGGACCUGUCCGUUCUAAUGAACAAAAACAAAAAUCAUUUUCUAUUAAGAACGAAGGAAACGAAAUGAAAAUACUUCUUAUACCUAAGAAGUUAUUUAUUUAUUACAAUAAAAAAAAGAAGAUCGAAAAAGAAGAGAACAUAUUAAAUUUAUUAAUAAAACGACCAAAGGAUAUAAAAGAAAUAAAAAAAGUAAAUGAAGAGGGGGAUAAUUAUUAUGAAUAUGAUAACAUUAAAAGCUAUUCAUAUAACUUCCUUUUUUUAUAUAAACAGCUGGUUACUAAUUUUCAGAAUCUAUACUUUGAAAAAGUGUUACAAGAUUGUUAUUUUUUUAGUUUAAAAAAUUCAGAAGAAAAGGCUGUUACCUUUGCUUUCAAGUUAUAAUAGAAAAAUGCACAAACAAAUAGGCAACUAAAAAUUAUACUCUUUAUGUACAAUUUUUUAUGUACAAUUUUUUAUGUACAAUUUUUUAUGUACAUUUUUUUAUGUACAUUUUUUUAUGUACAUUU
ensembl:lncRNA